rnacentral:rRNA from 1 species
CAACAGCUCUAUAUAUUUGAAAUCUGGCCCUCGGGUCCGAGUUGUAAUUUGUAGAGGAUGCUUUUGGUGCAGUGCCUUCCGAGUUCCUUGGAACAGGACGCCUUAGAGGGUGAGAGCCCCGUACGGUUGGACACUAAACCUCUGUAAAGCUCCUUCGACGAGUCGAGUAGUUUGGGAAUGCUGCUCUAAAUGGGAGGUAAAUUUCUUCUAAAGCUAAAUACCGGCCAGAGACCGAUAGCGCACAAGUAGAGUGAUCGAAAGAUGAAAAGUACUUUGAAAAGAGGGUUAAAUAGCACGUGAAAUUGUUGAAAGGGAAGCGUUUAUGACCAGACCUUUGCCAGGCGGAUCAUCCGGUGUUCUUCACCGGUGCACUUCGCCUGGCUCAGGCCAGCAUCGAUUUUCGUAGGGGGAUAAAGGCCCUGGGAACGUAGCUCUCUUCGGGGAGUGUUAUAGCCGGGGUGUGUAAUACCCUAAUAAGAAACGAGCGUGG